GACGUAGGAGGCGAGCGUUAUCCGGAUUCACUGGGCGUAAAGCGCAUGGUAGGCGGUUGGAUAAGUCCGUUGUUAAAGCCCCUGGCUCAACUGGGGGAGGUCAAUGGAGACUAUUCGACUUGAGGGCAACAGAGGCACAUGGAACUCCCGGUGUAGCGGUGGAAUGCGUAGAGAUCGGGAAGAACACCCGUGGCGAAGGCGGUGUGCUGGGUUGCAAC
rnacentral:rRNA from 1 species